UGACAGUUGUGUUAAACGGGAAGUCAGUCAAAUCCUGACGCUGCCCCCGCAACGGUAGACGAGUUAAAAAUCAUUCAAAAUGUCACUGUACUAGUUGAAGUAAGAGAGUAUGGGAAGACGAAUGAUUUAUGUAAAACAUACUCGUAAGCCCGGAGACCGGCCUUAAAUUUCAG
rnacentral:ncRNA from 1 species